rnacentral:lncRNA from 1 species
UCCCAGGCCUUGGCAUGGAGGAGGCGGCCUCUCCUGGCAACUCACCAAUGGGGACUUAUCAUUCAUAUAAACCAUGGGGUCCUGCAGAGGAAGAAACAAGAGCGAAGGACUAAGAAUUCUGGAGCUGAAAGCACCAAGAAUGCAGGGGACCCUUGCCCCAGCCACCUGGGGAGGUGGAAGAGGACACAGAUGGGUGCAGGGCACCGACAUCCUUCCUGGGGUGCUCACCAGGGACUUCUCCUCCUGCCUGAGCCACUGGUAGUCCUCCACCAUCUGCUUCUGCUGUUUGUCCAGGAUUUGCCGCAUUUUGACCUUUUCAGCCUCCCACAGCUGCUGGGCCUCUUCUCGGCUGCUGGGUUGGAUGAAGUCCUCCUCCUGGGAGGACGGCAGAGAGAAGGGAGAGGAUGCAAUGAGCCCUGCUCUCAGACUCAGGGAGGGACAGUCCUCUGAAGAACCUCAUGGCAGCUGCAAGCCUUGGCCUGGCCAGCUGCUUUUUUCUCAUAAGUUUGUUCUUAAACCCAGAGCUAUAUGUGCAGACAGCUAUCCAGUAUCAGCCCCGAGCAUGUAUCUGCGUUGCAAUGUGAUACCAAACCCAAGAACCCACUGCUCAACGUGCGCUGUAUUCAAAUGAUUACACGAUCUGCUCAUGAUAUUUUACCAAGUGACUGCCCUACUAUUAUCUCAGUGUUUGUGAUGGUUGUUGUCAUUUAAUAUAUUUUAAAAAGAAAAGCUAUUAAAGUCUAUUAAAAUCUAUUUUAAAAUCUACUAAAAGCAUCCAAAGGGUUUCCAAGGGGCUGGCUUUGCUUAGUUGGAGAGCAUCACACCCUUCUGAUGCUAUCUCCACCUAAGGACCAAGGUGGCAGGUCUGGAAGCUUCGAGAGACAGGGGUGCUGCCUCUAGCCUCACGGUGUGCAGUCCCACGUGUGUCCAUGAAUGAGCAGAGCCUGAGAGAACAAGCAACAGCAUGCACCCACCAACCAUGCCUUCCUAUUAAGACACAUUCUUUAUUAAGAUAAUAGCUUGGGUUAUUUAACUAAAUGUUAGGAGAAAUGCAUGAGCUAAGAGAUAAAAUAAGGAACAAAAUUUCAUGAAAUACAGCUCUAUAGAGAUAAGAUAAAUGCAAUCAUAGCUUGAGUUAUUUAACCAAUGAUUAGAAGAAAUUCAUGAACUAAUAGAUAAAAUGAAAAACAAAAUUCAAAGAAAUAUAGUUUGAUAGAGAGAAGAUAAAUGCUUCCUCUCCCUAGAUCUAGUAAUCUAACUCUUGCUUUAACUUACCUCUGGGGCUUUGGACCUAUUCAUAAUUUUAGCUGCUAGUUCCUAAACAGAAAGUAUUGCAUGUCUUCCUAUUUUCAUUCAGUCUUCCCCCACGGUUCAUUUGUAUAAAUAUCUGCUCAGUGUCUCUAAACUAUUUUGCUCUUGUUGUGCUGCACAUGGGGACCCUGGCCUCCUGGACAGAUGGAGGAGGAAUAUUAUUGGCAUCCUCUUGAUUGCACAAAGCCCAGGAGUUGCCUUUGCUAGGGCAGGAUUCUUCUGUGACAUCUAAGCUGGCAGGUCCCUCAGUUCCUUGCCUUUGAAGUGGCCAUUUGCAUACAGGUCACUUGCAGAAGAUGCUAACAAUUAUCUCUAUCUACUUUUAGCAAGCAAUAAUUCCUACCAAGCCUCUUAAAAGAGUUUCCUCACUAAGCCCUACAAAACACACUUGAAUAUUACAAUAUGGUCUAAAAGUGGUUAUAUUGGGAUGUUUUACUUAGUGCACACUGAGCUUCAAUUACUAACCUCAAUUUCUAAUCACACGUUUCCCCAUGAGUUAGGUUUCUUGCUGAAAUAUUUAUUCAUUAAUCUAUUCAACAAUUAUUUAUUAAGCAACUACUAUGUGGCAGGGCUGGGUGCUGGGAGGACAGUGAUGUUAAACUAUACGAUGUUCUUAUUCUCGUGGGGUUAAGUAAAUACUAGUCAGACCAAGGCUCCUCAACCUCAGCACUACUGACAUUUGGAGCCAGACAAGUCCUUAUUUCCAGGGCAAUUUCCUGUGCAUUGUACGAUGCUUAGCAGCAUCUCUGGCCUCCCCACAAUAUAUGCCUAUAGCACCACCCCAGUUGUAACAAAAAUGCUGCCAGACAUUGUCAAAUGUCCUCUCAGAGGGAAAAUAACUUAGCUGAGAACCACUGAGCUAGACCUUAUUUUAGGAAAACAAAUUCCAGCAUAUAAGAGUAUUUUAUAAUCAUGGAAUUGAUAAAAAUAAAAUAGGUUUUGUUGAUCAGAGGCUGAUACUCAAAAAUGAGGACAUUUUAAGGCCAUAAAAAUCCCCAGUUAAAUGUCAACACCUGCAGACACAAUGGCAUGGCUGCCCCAGGCUGUUGACAAAUAGUGACAAACAGGAACUAAGUGUCAAAAGUUCUAAAUAUAGAGUUAGGGAUUUCUGGAUGUGAGAAAAAUGUAUGGGUUAAGGAAGAGUAUGGUAAGUACCAGUUGGAUGAGCUACUAGAAUCAAGAAAAUUCUACAAGUAUUUGUAAGUAUUUGUAAGUUUAUAAGUGUUGACAGAAGAUUCCACCACUAAAAUGCCUAGCAUGCCUCAGGCCUGAUCGUACCACAUAUUCUAACAAACACAGAUUAGGAGACAUCCUGAUGCCUUCCAAUUUCAUAAUAAAACUCAAGGAGAAAAAUGAACACUCAAAAAAAUGGAAUCUCUUUGAGGUUGGUUUUGCUGAAAUGCGCCUCCAAUAUUCUUAUUAGGUAAUGGAUACUUACAUUGCUCAUUACAUUCUAUUCUUAAAAGGAAUUGGGUACUCAUGGUGUUUUAAAAUGACUCUCGUAAGUUGUGACACCUUCCAUAAUCUGGCUAUGACCCAUCUGUUGGCUUUAUUUCCACAUCCACAAGUACCCUUCCUGCUGUAGUCCAACAGUUCUUGCACUUGUCCUGUGGUUUCCCACCACUCAGUCUUGCCUCCUACUGAAGCCCCUGCCUCUUCCAUUCCCUGAAUCUCAGUUUCCUCCUGUCCACAUCUUUCCCAUCUUUCAAGGCCCAACUUUUAAAUAGAAGCUGGAAAGGGUUGUCCUCCUCUCUGAACUCCCACUUUGUGGUACCCACGACCUUCUGGCUUGCAUUACAGGUAAGUGUGCACCUGGUCUGAUCCUUCUGGUCGACUGUAAGCGCUUUGAAAGCAGCGCCUCCCCCCUUCAGCACCGAGGACAGCGUCCAGCAAUCACAGCAAGCCCUACUGUUUAUUGAAUUGUAUUAUUUUUAUUUUAUUUAUUUUUAUUUUUGAGACAGGGUUUUGCUCUGUUGCCCAGGUUGGAGUGCAGUGGCGUGAUCUCAGCUCACUGCAACCUCUGCCUCCCAGGUUCAAGUGAUCUCCUGCCUCAGCCUCCUGAGUAGCUGGGAUUACAGGUGCACACUACCAUGCCUGACUAAUUUUUUGUAUUUUUAGUACAGAUGGGGUUUUGCCAUGAUGGCCAGGCUGGUCUCAGACUCCUGACAUCAAGUGAUCCACCCACCUUGGCCUCCCAAAAUGCUGGGAUUACAGGCGUGAGCCACCACGCCUGGCCUUGAAUUGUAUUAUUUUUAAAGCUCAAUUGUGAGGUCUUCAGGAGAGAGACUGCUGCCAUCCCAAUGCUGGUAUGGCAUCCCACAGACUCCCUGAUGAGUCAGGCUAUAGAGCCACUCAGUAGAAAAACUGUUUUUCUGGGAACACCACCUCUGUAUUUUUGUUAAAUGCUUCCAAAUGCUUUGUGAGGAGCCUAUUAUACCUUCUCAGCAUUCUACCUGGAAGAGACUUUCUCAGUGUUUCUGAUCUGUGUCAUAAAAUGGAGCUUAUAUUUUUAACUUUUUUGGGUUUGUUUAUUUAAAGACAUGCUCAUUAUGUUCUUUUAGGCAGAUUUUCCUUAUGUCAAUUACUUCUAAAGCCCUGAUACAAAAGGUCUUUUUUCCUACUGCACAAUCUCUUUAUGGAACUGAACAAGGUCCUUGUGGAGAAGCAGGAAAUUGGACGAAGGCAAUGCUACCCCUCAAAUGUGCAAAAUAGCUUCUUUCUAAAAUAACACAAUUUAAAGCAAAACUUACUAAAACAAUCAUUUAUGAAUAGAGAGUCAAAGGCAGGAGGGUGGAGAAACCGAACACAGCCUAAAUUAUAGCACAUGCCUAAAAAUGUAGUUUAUUAUUGUUAAGCACACGCAAAGACAGAAAUUGGUUAAAUUAAUAUAAAAGAGAAAAACGAGGUAGGUCAGAGGAAAAUUGAUUUCACAAAAAAUCUUAGUGUCUGGAAUUCUAAGUUAUCAUGCUCAUUUCAAAAUUCUACUAAAUUAAGCAUAAUGGCAUGAAAGUAAUAUCAGCAUACUUGCCUACAUCUUCCAAAUAUAUUAUGAUAAACAUCUAAUUUUUUUCAAAAAAUAUUUUAGUCAUGUUUAGUGAGCCUGAAAUAUUGUGCAUGCAUGCAGAGUUAGAGCUAAAAUAAGUGUUUUAGUUGGUUUAGUAAAAUAGAUCAAGUGUUCGUGGCAACUGACCACUAGGGGCCAUUUGUAUGGAAGAAGGUGGUUGGUGACCAGUGGGCAUCUGGUUAUAAGCAAAAGUGUCUUUUUCACACAAGACCUGACAAUCAGAAGCCAGCCAUGAAGCACUCCGGGCUUCACCAGCAGUUAACAACCCCCCGUGACAAAGAGCUGACAAGGGAAGUGGCUUAGGUCCCUGCUCUAGCCAGUUAAUGAGGCUGUAUUCCCACUAGCCCUAAACUCCUUCUCACCCAGCAGCAGCCUGAACAAAAGCAGAAAGGGGAGCAGCCACAAGAAAGCCUUUCCUUUGACUGAGGAGAGAUUUCACACCCAAAGCCAUCAUUUAGGAAGGAUACUCUCCAGCACCACUAAGCUGUGCUGUGCCCUGCCUAGGAGCCUCCAAGCUGCCACAGAUCCCCCUACCCCUGGGGCUCAGGAGAGGGGGAGAUUUGUACAUCUCUAGCCAUAGCACCAGCAUGGCCAAGGGCAGGUUAGGUCCAGCUGGUGUCCUCCAGAGCAGGGCCUGGUGUGGCUGCCAGCCUCUGAUGUGUUUGCAAAGGGAAGGAAGUCACAGAGUGCCACCUCAGUGGCCUGACUGGUGCAUGGGAACAGGAAGGGCCCUCCUGAGCUGAGGACGUGGGGUUUCCAGUGUCCCCGGCCACCUCCCUCCAGCAGCCUCCUCAGUCCGGGCAGGGACCAGCAUGCAGAGCCCUCUUACCCGCAUGCUGUGGCGUUUGAAGACAUUGUGCCGGUGGAGAGGUGGGGUGUGCAGUGAGUUAACGGGAGAUGGAUACUCCAUAGGGCUGGUGAGCGUAGGAGAGCUGGCACACAGACCCUCAGGAACCUAUUCAGGAAAAGCAAAGAAGCACAAGGCACGGGACAAAGCGAGAAGGUAGACAAUUAGCUGCUACAAACACGAGCACAAAGAAACUAUGCAUGAGCACCACAGGGAAUGGGGCUUGCUCUCCAGGAGUUAAUAAAGAACAAAACGUGGGCCUUCCAUUGCUCCGAGAGAGAUGGUGGAGCAGUGCAGCCUCUCAUUCAUCCAACAUUCCCCCAAGAUGCUCUGCACACAGUGGGGUCCAUGCUGGUUACGGACCCACUGAGACCAGGGCUCUUCCUUCAGGACUCUUCAAAAAAUAGUUGUUUCAGUUGCAUUACAGACUGACUGAUGUGGUUAACACACCAAUUUAUACAGAUAUGUAUGAAUUGUUUUUUAAAAAUUCAGAUAGGCUCUUGCUCUGUUGCCCAGGCUGGGAUGCAGUGGUAUGAUCACAGCUCACUGCAGCCUUAAACUCUUGGCCUCAAGUAAUCCUCUUGCCUCAGCCUCCCACAUAGCUGGGACUACGGAUGCAUGCCACCAUGCCUGCCUUGAAUUUUUUUUAAUUAAAAAAUAAGUAUAUCACAAUUUUAUUGUAUUACUAUUUGUUUUUAGAGAUGGGGUCUCACUAUAUUGCCCAGGCUGGUCUCAAACUCCUGAGCUCAAUGAAUCCUCCCAUCUCACCCUCCUUAGUAGCUGGGACUACAGGUGUGUUCCACCCUACCUAACUCCCUGUUUUAAAUAUUGCACAUGGGUAUAUCUCUUUUUUUUCAGAACGAUUUUUCCAUCUUCUGAAUCAGGCUUUCUCUUCACGUGAAGAGGAUUUAUCUAUUAGUCCUUAGAUGGUCUUGUUUUGGCACUCAGGCAUUUCCUUGAGAACAAAUAUAGGACCAUGGGACACCACCUUUCUAUAAAGGGCACCAACUAAAUGGACAUUAUUUCUGGUGGUUGAGGGGAUCAAUUUUUGAGCAGUGGCUCUGAGCUGGGGGAUGCAAGAGAAGAAAUAAGAGGAGACUGGACUCCCUCUCUCCUAGAGGCAAGAGAGACACAGAACAGAGACAUUCAGGGUCAGGGACGCACAGCCUGGGAAAGAGUCAUGGUUGGGGAUAAUGGAGCUGGGAGAAAGCUCAGGUAAAACCCUGCUGUCUCUUCAAUGGCCAUCUCCAUCACCCAAGUGGGUGACUGCUGCUCCUCUAAG